rnacentral:rRNA from 1 species
AUUGAACGCUGGCGGCAUGCCUUACACAUGCAAGUCGAACGGUAACAGGUCUUCGGAUGCUGACGAGUGGCGAACGGGUGAGUAAUACAUCGGAACGUGCCCGAUCGUGGGGGAUAACGGAGCGAAAGCUUUGCUAAUACCGCAUACGAUCUACGGAUGAAAGCAGGGGACCGCAAGGCCUUGCGCGGACGGAGCGGCCGAUGGCAGAUUAGGUAGUUGGUGGGGUAAAGGCUCACCAAGGCGACGAUCAGUAGCGGGUCUGAGAGGAUGAUCCGUCACACUGGAACUGAGACACGGUCCAGACUCCUACGGGAGGCAGCAGUGGGGAAUUUUGGACAAUGGGCGAAAGCCUGAUCCAGCCAUGUCGCGUGCAGGAUGAAGGCCUUCGGGUUGUAAACUGCUUUUGUACGGAACGAAAAGACUCCUUCUAAUAAAGGGGGUCCCAUGACGG